GAUGCUCAAACCAGGCCCAGUGUCUCUCUUCCGGCUGCCUGCUGAUCCAGAUGAGAACUCUCAGCGCCUUCUCCAGCACCAUGUCUAUCUGUGUGCUGCGGUGUCCCGCCAUGAUGGCAACCGACUAAAUCUCUAAACUACAUUUCUGCCUGGAGCAAAAUACUACACAGCAUUCCUCACAGCUGACAGCUGUGAACUUGAAGAACCGAAGCCCCUUCAUUGACACACAAGUUUAUUGGCCAGACAUGGCUUUGCUCCUGGCUGCUCCAGGAGAUGCUAAAAGGACAACACCCAGACAGCUCACCUUACUUCAUUGCUAAAGCCAGUAAGAUCUAUGCAGCUAGAUUGAUGAAAGCACACAUCUGCCCAUGAGUUAGAGCGUGGCUGUCUCCCGAAGAAACUGAACUGUGACAAACCAGUAAAAUAGAGACCUGCAGAGGACAGCUUUAUCAAAACAGAGAUUAAGAGUGCUGGCUGCUCUUCCAGAGUCCUGAGUUCAAUUCCCAGCAACCACAUGGUGGCUCACAACCAUCCGUUAUAAGAUCUUCUGCCCUCUUCUGGUGUGCAGAUAUACAUGGAAGCAGAAUGUUGUAUACAUAAUAAAUAAAUAAAGUCUUAAAAAAAAAAGAAAGAAAGAAAAAGAAAAUGGCCGGUGGACCAUACCAGACCACAAGAGGACAGAGGGCAAGAGAGGAGCUGCCAAACAAGAGGCAGCCAGGGCCACAAGGCUGAGAGACUGGAGUAGCCAAAUGGCUGCCAUAUAGGGACCAGGCUGAGGAAAGGAAGUGGAAGCCUCUGGGAGGGCCACAGGUACUGAGUGACGCUGGGAGAGCUGGCCAGCGGCCAUGUUAACAUGUUAGUAGGCAUGCCAGUUAGCAAUUUGUUUCAGGCUCCUGAGACUAAGAUUGGGAACGUUCACUAUCUUGUAGGUGGUUGCUGGUGGUGACAGGUUGGCUCAUUAGGAAGGAGGCGGAUAGGUUUGCUACUUAGGAAAAGGUUUAGGACUGGGCAUGGGACUGUGAAGUGAAACUCUGGGGUGUUUGAGGUAGUCAAAUUCUUUGUUCCAAUGCGGAAGCAGUUUCACGAAGUUCCUACAGUUUUACAGAACAAAGACUAUCACAAGUUAAGGCAAGUGUGAAAUAUGUUGACGGGUACAUCACAGGGGCAGGUUCAGUGAAGUGGGGUGGGGAAACUCUUCUACUGGCCCAAUGUGCUAUCUGAGCUUUUUUUUUUGGGUUAGUGGAAGCUACCACUCUGCUUUGUUAAGACUCUAAAAAGACCUAACACCUGACUUUCUCAGGCACCAGGUACUCCUGUGGCACACACACAACGCAUGCAAGCGAUGAUGCGUGUUUUUCUGAAUAGUAAAAAAUUUAAAACAGGUCAGGCAUGGUGGCAGUCCCAGCUCUCCAGAAGCAGAGGCAAGGGGAAUCUCCAUCGGUUCCAGGCCAGCCUGACUAUAAAGUGAGACCCCAUCAAACAAACACCCAUCAAAAAACAAAGCAAAACAAAACAAAAAAACAAAAAAAAAAUGCAGACACCCUGAACCAAUUAACAGAACAAAGAAAAAUCAGUCAAAAAGGAGAAAGUUGUGUAGAGUGUACCUCGUUGUGAAAGCCAGGAAACAGAAGGAAGAAAAUAGAUACCUUGUCAGAGGG